AGAUCUAUCCUCCAAGCAGGUAAUGAACUGGCCAGUGAAGAAGGCAUCUUUUCCUUCCUAAUACUUCUUUUGAAGGUUUCCGUCUUUUACUUGCUAUUUAUCUUGUCCGGUGACGUAUUUCUAUUUCUUUAUCAGCAGGCUAAAGUCCCGAACUCCUGCUGUAAGACUCGGCUUCUUUUUCCGCCGAACGUAGGAUGAAAAGAAGGGAAGAUUAGAGAUUGACCUCUCUCUUC
rnacentral:lncRNA from 1 species